rnacentral:rRNA from 1 species
UACAGAGGGUGCAAGCGUUGUUCGGAAUCAUUGGGCGUAAAGGGCUCGUAGGCGGCCAACUAAGUCAGACGUGAAAUCCCUCGGCUUAACCGGGGAACUGCGUCUGAUACUGGAUGGCUUGAAUCCGGGAGAGGGAUGCGGAAUUCCAGGUGUAGCGGUGAAAAUGCGUAGAUAUCUGGAGGAAUACCGGUGGCGAAGGCGGCAUCCUGGACCGGCAUUGACGCUGAGUGAGCGAAAGCUAG